CGCGCAGGCUGCGCGUCGAGUCGGCUGUUAAAGAUCCGGGCUUAACCCGGUGAAGCGGUCGAGACCGACGAGCUGGAGUGCUGCAGAGGCAAGUGGAAUUCCCGGUGUAGCGGUGAAAUGCGUAGAUAUCGGGAAGAACACCGGUGGCGAAGGCGACUUGCUGGGCAGCAACUGACGCUGAGGCGCGAAAGCCAGGGGAGCAAACGG
rnacentral:rRNA from 1 species